GACGGAAGGUGCAAGCGUUGCUCGGAAUCACUGGGCGUAAAGGGUGCGUAGGCGGCUUGGUGGGUCUGGUGUGAAAGCCCCGGGCUCAGCCCGGGAAGGGCGCUAGAAACUGCCGAGCUCGAGUGCCGGAGGGGAGAGUGGAAUUCCUGGUGUAGCGGUGAAAUGCGUAGAUAUCAGGAGGAAUACCGGUGGCGAAAGCGGCAUCCUGGACCGGCAUUGACGCUGAUGAGCGAAAGCUAGGGGAGCAAACGGG
rnacentral:rRNA from 1 species